UUGUAAGGUUAGCUGAAUGCCCUCAGACAAGUGAUCUAGCCUCUACUGGCUUCAGCAACAGGUAUCAAAGCACAUGCUCGCUGCCCAAUGACAGUUUGUUCCUACGCUUUUCUUUCCAGGUUCCUGGACUCUACAAGGCCACUGUAACCUCUACUGCCAGCUGUACCUGUGGUAUCUUCUUGAACUUUCUGCCUUAAUUGCAUCUGACUUCUUGCCUUAUCAAACAGGCAGAGGACAUCUGAUUAUUCCAAUCCUUGGUGCUUUUCAAAAACACAGUCUCCCGACCUCUGCUGGAAGGGAACUUGCUCAUCAUCUACAGCAUUCGGAAGAGACUGUGAGAGAGAUAUAGAGAGAAAGGUCUUCCUUCUAUUGGUUCACCCCCCAAAUGGCUGCUACGGCCGGAGCUACACCAAUCCAAAGCCAGCAGCCAGGUGCUUCCUCUUGGUCUUCCAUGCGGGUGCAGGGUCCAAGCACUUGGGCCAUCCUCCACUGCCUUCCCGGGCCACAGCAGAGAGCUGGACUGGAAGAGGAGCAACCGGGACAGAACCGGCGCCCACAUGGGAUGCUGGCGCCGCAGGCAGAGGAUUAACCAAGUGAUCCAUGGCACAGAAAAAGCUCUCCUCUUUGCUGGCUCCUGUCCAUGGAAGUGGAGCUGUCUGCACCCCGCACCAGGGAAACCCAGGCACGUGAUUUGGAUCCAUGCAGUUGCUUGGAGGCAACACGAUGUAACCCCGAAACACCUCAGACAAAAUGGCCACUGCAAGGUGCAGGGAAGUUAAUGUCUGUGGAGCUGCCCUUGACCACUGUGAACAUGGGACCAGGUAGGUCUAGGAUGCUCUUCACAAGCUUCCUUAGACAGUACGGAGGUUUCAGCAACAGCAGUCCUCAGGGGAGUCCAGCUCCGUAAGUGUCCUCAUGCGAGCUUUUCCUUGUUCCCUGUUUCAUUUCCAGUGCCUCUCCCUUCCACCCCUUUGAAUGACAUUCCUAAGUGAAUUAUCAGCACUCAAACCUUUUACUUCAGUCUC